UUGGGGUUGGAGUAGGUCUCCGGACCCCCACCCCCACCACCGCCACCCGACUGCGGUAUGCCUGGUAAUGUGCGUGGUGCAUCGGUUAGCGUGACGUCAACUCAGCUUGGCGGAACCGCCACUUACACGUGUAACCUUGGUUACGGUUACACAGGUGGUGACCUCACACGCACGUUUCAGUCCUCGGCUCAAUGGAGCGGAACCGAACCAGUUUGCGUUUAUAUGAAUUCGUGCAACAGCUUCCCUUGUAAGAAUGGCGGCACAUGUACAAACAAGCCCGAGAGUUAUAUGUGUUCUUGUCCUGAUAUCUGGAAAGGAACCAAUGGCGAGCAAGA